GUGGGAUUGAACUCGGGGUGAAUUCCUCAGGGCGGAAAUUUCAGGGUGAAAUCCGGGAUGGAACUCAGGACAAACCCAGAGUGACCCCAAACCCUGCAGGGAUUUUGGUGUCCAGGGAAUGGGAUCAUUCCCGGUUAUCCCAAGGUCUUCCCUGGAUCCUGGAAUUCCCAUCGGGAUCGCUCCCGGCCCCGCCCCCGCUGCCCUUUGGCCACCUGGAAAAAUUCCCGAUUUUCCGUCGGCGCCGCUCCCUGCUCAGCCGUGGCUGCUCCCGGGAAACAAAA
rnacentral:lncRNA from 1 species